CAUGUAGGCGGAUUAAUAAGUUUGAAGUGAAGUCCUAUAGCUUAACUAUAGAACUGCUUUGAAAACUGUUAAUCUAGAAUGUGGGAGAGGUAGAUGGAAUUUCUGGUGUAGGGGUAAAAUCCGUAGAGAUCAGAAGGAAUACCGAUUGCGAAGGCGAUCUACUGGAACAUUAUUGACGCUGAGAUGCGAAAGCGUGGGGAGCAAACA
rnacentral:rRNA from 1 species